UAAAAACCCCGACUUCGGAAGGGGUGUAUUUAUUAGAUACAAAACCAAUGCCCUUCGGGGCUCUUUGGUGRUUCAUGAUAACUAUACGAAUCGCACGGCCUUGCGCCGGCGAUGGUUCAUUCAAAUUUCUUCCCUAUCAACUUUCGAUGUUUGGGUAUUGGCCAAACAUGGUUGCAACGGGUAACGGAGGGUUAGGGCUCGACCCCGGAGAAGGAGCCUGAGAAACGGCUACUACAUCCAAGGAAGGCAGCAGGCGCGCAAAUUACCCAAUCCCGACUCGGGGAGGUAGUGACAAUAAAUACUGAUACAGGGCCCUUUCGGGCCUUGUAAUUGGAAUGAGUACAAUUUAAAUCCCUUAACGAGGAACAAUUGGAGGGCAAGUCUGGUGCCAGCAGCCGCGGUAAUUCCAGCUCCAAUAGCGUAUAUUAAAGUUGUUGUGGUUAAAAAGCUCGUAGUUGAACCUUGGGCCUGGCUGGCCGGUCCGCCUCACCGCGUGCACUGGUCCGGCCGGGCCUUUCCCUCUGUGGAACCCCAUACCCUUCACUGGGCGUGCGGGAAACAGGACAUUUACUUUGA
rnacentral:rRNA from 1 species